rnacentral:rRNA from 1 species
UACGUAGGGGGCAAGCGUUGUCCGGAUUUAUUGGGCGUAAAGAGCGUGUAGGCGGCCAUACAGGUCAGCUGUGAAAACUCGAGGCUCAACCUCGAGACGUCGGUUGAAACCGUAUGGCUAGAGUCCGGAAGAGGAGAGUGGAAUUCCCGGUGUAGCGGUGAAAUGCGCAGAUAUCGGGAAGAACACCUAUGGCGAAGGCAGCUCUCUGGGCCAUUACUGACACUGAGAAGCGAAAGCAUGGGGAGCGAACAGG